rnacentral:tRNA from 1 species
GCCUGGGUGGCUCAGUCGGUUGAGCAUCCGACUUCGGCUCAGGUCAUGAUCUCACAGUCUGUGGGUUCAAGCCCCGCGUCGGGCU